rnacentral:lncRNA from 1 species
GGAGUAUGACAUGAUGGAAAACCACUCCUUUCGUCCGAAGCCGACGCCCACGUGAAAAUGCGGGCCGACACGACAUCAGACUCAAGAGUGGGGGGGCAACUGUUGGGAUAUACCAACUGACCCCUGUAGGCCAAUUUAUCCUCAAGCCGAUCCGACAGACGUCUGACUCUACCCACCAGACUGACGGACGACUCCGACAAUGACUGCCGACAAUGGCUGCCGACAAUAUCCGACCG